CCAAAAAGCCCUAAAAAAAUAUAUUUGGGGGAAAAAUCUGAAAUUGAUGGAGGCAGCAGCAGAUAAACCUAAAUUCAAGAAAUUAGGUCGCCACUCGAAGAAGAGCUCUUAUGAUUCUCAAAUAAAUCGACUCGAUGAUGGCUGUCUUAUGCUUAUUUUCAGCUUCCUCUCCCCCAUUCCAGAUCGGUAUAACACCGCCCUCGUUUGCCGCAGAUGGCGUUUUCUGGCAUGUCAUCCUCAGCAUUGGCUUUGAGUUGACCGCUCCGUCAAAGAGUUGACCGAAGCUGGAGUUUACCCCUGCAUCGAGACAGCUGUCUCUGCUGCCAGGCCCGGCGACACUAUACUUAUUGCAGCUGGAGGGAUUCACCGUACAUCCAAUAUCCAGAUCAAAAAGCCUCUUUGUCUGGUAAUUUUUUGGAUUUUCUUAUUUGCGCAAUGAAUCCUCUCAGAUUUCGAAUUUCUCGAUUAAUUUUAUUUCGGCCUUUCUUUGUCCGAUAGCCUUUGUCCCCUUUUGAUUGGUUGCUCUCUACUUACAUUUGGAAGAGAAACAAGGGUGAUGGUGUGCAAGGUAGUCAAAAAUUGGGAUUUUAAGUAAAAAUCGAAAGUGGGCUGCAAAUUUAUAUAGCAUGCCGAAUUUUGUCAUUUUGUCUCAACUCCUAAAAUAAAUAAAGAAAUAGAACAUGCGUUUUUUGGUGGGACGUUGAUUAGUGGAUUAGUUCUUUGUCGUUGUUUGACCUAGGGUUCAGUACUCCACGAAUUUCAAAAUUAGUCGUGUUACUAGAAUGAAAGAAAACGUUCAGUGGAUUGU